GACGUAGGAGGCGAGCGUUGUCCGGAUUCAUUGGGCGUAAAGAGCGCGCAGGCGGCUUGGUAAGUCGGAUGUGAAAUCCCGAGGCUCAACCUCGGGUCUGCAUCCGAUACUGCCCGGCUAGAGGUAGGUAGGGGAGAUCGGAAUUCCUGGUGUAGCGGUGAAAUGACGCAGACUAUCAGGAAGAACACCCGUGGCGAAAAGCGGCUCUCUGGGACGGUACUGGACGCUGAAGACGCGAAAGCGUGGGAGCGAACAGG
rnacentral:rRNA from 1 species